rnacentral:rRNA from 1 species
UACGAGGGGGGCAAGCGUUUGUUCGGAAUUAUUGGGCGUAAAGGGUGCGUAGGCGGUUUGGUAAGUCUUAUGUGAAAUCUACAGGCUCAACUUGUAGUCUGCAUGAGAAACUGCCGGGCUUGAGUAUGGGAGAGGUGAGUGGAAUUCCUGGUGUAGCGGUGAAAUGCGUAGAUAUCAGGAGGAACACCUGUGGCGAAAGCGGCUCACUGGACCAUAACUGACGCUGAUGCACGAAAGCUAGGGGAGCAAACAGG